ensembl:Y_RNA Y_RNA Y RNA
GGCUGAUCUGAGUACAGUGGUAUUCACAACUAAUUGAUGCCUUCUCCAUUCCCACUGCUUCACUUGACUAGCCUUAA